rnacentral:rRNA from 1 species
ACAAGGUCUCCGUUGGUGAACCAGCGGAGGGAUCAUUACUGAGUUUACGCUCUAUAACCCUUUGUGAACAUACCUAUAACUGUUGCUUCGGCGGGUAGGGUCUCCGUGACCCUCCCGGCCUCCCGCCCCCGGGCGGGUCGGCGCCCGCCGGAGGAUAACCAAACUCUGAUUUAACGACGUUUCUUCUGAGUGGUACAAGCAAAUAAUCAAAACUUUUAACAACGGAUCUCUUGGUUCUGGCAUCGAUGAAGAACGCAGCGAAAUGCGAUAAGUAAUGUGAAUUGCAGAAUUCAGUGAAUCAUCGAAUCUUUGAACGCACAUUGCGCCCGCCAGCAUUCUGGCGGGCAUGCCUGUUCGAGCGUCAUUUCAACCCUCAAGCUCUGCUUGGUGUUGGGGCCCUACAGCUGAUGUAGGCCCUCAAAGGUAGUGGCGGACCCUCCCGGAGCCUCCUUUGCGUAGUAACUUUACGUCUCGCACUGGGAUCCGGAGGGACUCUUGCCGUAAAACCCCCAAUUUUCCAAAGGUUGACCUCGGAUCAGGUAGGAAUACCCGCUGAACUUAAGCAUAUCAAU